GUGUGUGUGUGUUGAUGGCGUUAAUCCGUGUCUAGUGGCGUUAAAUAUGAGGAUAUUGGCAUAAACGGUCUCUGGUUUUUCUUGUCCAAAGGGAAAGAAGGAGGUUGAUCUAGCUUUUCAGGGUCAAGAUAUUAAAUGGAAAACUAAGAAAUUAGAUCGGAAAGGUAAUUCUAUGGAGAGUUUGUUGGUCAUAUAUAUAUAUAAUAUUAUAUUAAUUUCAGGGAGAAUCUAGACUAUGGCCUGGCAAAGUUACUGAAUAAUGCAUUCUCCUAAGUCCCAACCACUAAUGCAAAAAGCGUGCCCUUAAGCCCGCCGUGCUGUUCGGCUCACAAAGUGCACACUUUAGCCAAGUAUGUGUAGAUUUUAACCCGGCAAAGUUAUUGAAUAACACAUUCUCCCAAGUACCCAAAAUUGUUGCAAAAGGCAAGUGCUUAAGCCAGCUGUAUAGUUCGGCUCACAAAGUAUGCACUUCAGCCGAGGUGUGAUGGGGCCUGUUGUUUGAUUUCUUUUGGUUAUAUUGUUUUUCCAUAUAAGCCAGUGAUUUUGAGUAUGAUGUCAAUGACUUUCUGUGUGCACAACCACUGUAAUUAAAGGUUGUACAGACUUUAGAAAUGCGUUGUCACAGGGAAUUAAGAGUGUACUUAUGUAUUAGAGCAUUCACAUUACCGAGCGACGAUUUGGUACCUCUAAACAAUGACUAUUUGGUAUUCGGUAAAUGCUUUUAUGGAUUUUGACAUGAUAGAUGCUUUUCAAAACUUCUUAAUGUUAAUAACUGAAAGUUCACCUGCAUUAAGGGCCUGUUGGGUUUGCUAAGCAAUUAGAAAAUAAGCUUGUUUGGUGAGGGCUGGUUGCUUAAUUGCUUAUUAAUAGAACCAACAAACAAGAUAAGUAAAUAAGCAAUCCCAACGACUUUUCUUAAUAUUAAUUUUGUCUGUUGCUUGCUUAGAACCUAAGGACCUGGAACAUUGAACUAUUUUGUCCAAGUUAUAUUCCCCCCUUGUUUAAAGAAAUAGAGAUGAUUGAGUGAAGUCCAUGCUUUGUCUCGACUUGUAGGUUCCAACAUACAUUUGGCUCCUCGCAUGCUUCUCGCAUUUACAAAGAGUAGUCUAAACAAACUUGACAAACAAAAUGAAAUACGUUUACUUAUGCAAAAAAAAAAAGAAAAAGAAAUCUGUUCAAGAUCAACUUUGUCUAAUAUUUGCUCAGAUGGUUUCAAGGUGAUGGUGAAAGCAGUCCCUCCAAAGUAUGCAUAAAUAUGCAUGUCAAAUUCACACUCGGUAGUAGUUUGUCUCCUCUUUUUGGAUAAGUUAAGAUAUUUCUUGCAGUGGACAAACCAGUGAGAAUAUUGUACGUUGUGGCAUACAAUAUUGUCUGCUGUUUCUAAAAAUCAUAUCUUCAUUCAAGUACUAAUCACAUUCAGCAGUGAUCUCCUCGUUCUUGAUUGUACUUGUUACAGGGUCUUGGAUAGAACUCAAUCCCAAAAGCUAGCUUUUGAAGUGAGGGUGCCCUCACGCUUAUUUUUUUCAUAUUACUUUGAUACCCAAGCGAUGUGGGACUUUGCUUCACACUCUCCCUCACGCCCAACGUGCUCACUCGGCAGCAUUUGAUGCUGCAGGCCAGAGACACACGCCCUACCUAUCCUUGGCAUACCCGGCUAUGAUACCAUGUUACAUGGUCCUGGGAAGAACUCAACCUCAAAAGCUAGCUCUUGAGGUGAGGGUGUCCUCACGUAAUGAAGGCUAGCUAUUGACGUGAGGGUGCCCUCGCGCUUAUAUACUUCAUAUUACUUUGGUACCCAGGC